GAUGAACGCUGGCGGCGUGCCUAAUACAUGCAAGUCGAGCGAACAGACGAGGAGCUUGCUCCUCUGACGUUAGCGGCGGACGGGUGAGUAACACGUGGAUAACCUACCUAUAAGACUGGGAUAACUUCGGGAAACCGGAGCUAAUACCGGAUAAAUUUUGAAACCGCAGGUUUCAUAAGUAAAGGACGGUUUUGCUGUAACUAAAGGAUGAAUCCCCGCCGCAUUAGCUGGUUGGUAAGGUAACGGCUUACCAAGGCAACGAUGCGUAGCCGACCUGAGAGGGUGAUCGGCCACACUGGAACUGAGACACGGUCCAGACUCCUACGGGAGGCAGCAGUAGGGAAUCUUCCGCAAUGGGCGAAAGCCUGACGGAGCAACGCCGCGUGAGUGAUGAAGGUCUUCGGAUCGUAAAACUCUGUUAUUAGGGAAGAACAAAUGUGUAAGUAACUAUGCACGUCUUGACGGUACCUAAUCAGAAAGCCACGGCUAACUACGUG
rnacentral:rRNA from 1 species